rnacentral:lncRNA from 1 species
GUAUAUAGAUUUAAUGAUGUUUGUCAAAUCAAGAAUCUCCUCAAAUUUCAAGUGACAGAAGAAAUUUAUCUAUGAAAUGAUAUAGUUUCUCUUCUUUCCAUUUAUAUAUAUAAAAAAAGAAACUAAUCAGUUAGAAAUACAUUCUUCCGACAGCUCUUAUAUCCACCGAGUCAACUAGAUGGUGCUUGUUGCUCAAAUUUUUUGUUUGUGCUUUAAAAUUUAGAGUGUGAACCAUUAACAACGAUCGCUUCAAGCAAAAGAGCUAGCUAGUUCAACGGAAUUCAUGGGAUAUUUGACACCAUUGCAGCAUGCACCAUGCACCAUGCACCAUCAUUCCAAUAUACAUGAAACCCAAAUCUCUCUAGUGUGUUUGAUCAUGCACCAAAUAGAACUUAGUCGGGAAUUGAUUCCUGAAGAUCAUGAAUCAUGUUUUCCAUGUAAAAGAGAAAGGAAAAGGUGGAAAGAUGAUCGAUGGCCAUAAGAACAAAGCGAUGCCUAUGAGUAAAUUGAAGUCGUGAACGGGGACAGCUUUAGCAGAGGAGCGAAAAAGGUUGGCGAUUACUAAUUUGAUUUACAAGAAAGGGAAAAACCAAGGCCCCGAUUAGGAAAAAACUGGGACCCUCAAAGGGACAAGUGUUCGAUGUGUGACGUACGGAAAGGGACCAGUUGUGAUAGAAGGGACCAGUUGUGAUAGAGAGGGGCUCUCUACUCAGAAAAAGAUCUGGAGUGCAAAUUAAGGCAACAGGCCAAAAGCAAUUCACUGUACUACGUCAUCAAUCCAGACAACUUUUUUUUUCUUACAGAGAGGCGGUAAGGCCUCUCUCUUCUAAAUGGAAAUGAAACUCUGCUUUGAGCUUCUGGUGAAAUGUUGAUUUCAUAGUUAAUGAGAAAGUGUGCUCUGUUGAGAAAGCCUUGCCUUCUCUUUCUUCCUGUUUUUUGACAUGAAUCUUUUACCCUGCAUUCUACAAAGGUUAGUGGGCUAAAAAUGAAACUGCCAAUGUCUGUAGUCUAUAGAUUCCAUUAACAAAUAUUUGUUCACAUUUUUUACGAUUCAGCACCAAACUCAAUUCCAUUAACAAAUGCAACAACCGG